AGAAACCAGAUCAUACAUGACCAGCCAGUGAAUUAUUUGACUGAGCUCCAGUGGUAGGCACAAACUCAUCUGGUAGGCACAAACUCAUCUCUAGUGGGAUUGUCAAGUAAUGGCUACAUUCUGAAUAUACAGUGUGGUGUAGACUGUAGAGCAUAAACUGUGGAGGUUAGGAAAUAGCAUUACAAAAAUGGUCGAAUCAUUAAUGAAAUAUAUUCCAAAUGCUGAGGAAUACUUCUGGGGACUGUGGAUCAGAUCAAGUAUUCUGAUGACAAUGACAAGGCAUGCAAAAUAGAUGUUGAUAGCACAACAAGUCAAGGUACUGAUAGUGAGGUGGUGCUACGAAGAAAGAAAGACUCUUUGACGCUUGGCCCAAGAUUAUUCAUGUGACUAUUCAAAGCUGGACCUAUUUUAGAUGCAAGCUUAGGACCGACUUCCAAAAAAUGUUGGUUCAGUGUACAACAAAUGGCAUUUCCAUCAGUAAUUCUCUUACCAUCCACUAUAAUAUGAGAUGGCAGCUUGUUUUUCUUAGAGGAGUUGCCAAUUAUUUCACGAAUGUGAAUCCAUGUUUUUGCCAUAUCUUUUUGGCAGCUAGAAAGAACGGUUUUAUAAUAUUCUUGUUUAGCCUUUGCAAGAUUCCUAUAUAAUUUAUUCCUAUAUUUUUUAUAUUCUCUUAUCUUUACUUGAGAUUUGCUUUUACAACACAUUUUAUGUUUGGUUUUAAUGGACUUGUAAAGAUCCUUCGAGAUCCAGUGUUUAAGCUUAAGUUUACAUUCAUUUAAAUUGCUUUGGAGAGGAAUGUGCUGGUCUACCACAGACUUUAUUGAAUUCAAAAGUGAAUUAAAUUUUUUGUUGAUGUCAUAGGAAAAUGAGAGAUCUUUUUCGAUUACAAGACUCAAAUGGUCAACAAAAUUUUCAGGAUUAUAAUUACUAUAGUCACGUCUACGUGUUUUAAUUUGGUACCUCUGGCAUGCUAGAUGUAUGUGAGCCAGGACAGGAAAAUGAUCAGAAAUGUCAUAUUUUAUAAUACUAGUAAUUGUUUUAUAUUCUACUCUAUUGAAAUAAAAAUGGUCUAAUAAA